UCAGGAUGAACGCUGGCGGCGUGCCUAAUACAUGCAAGUCGAACGCAUUGUGGUUGAAAUGAUAUGAAGAACUUGUUCAGAUUUGAUUUUCAACAUUGCAAUGAGUGGCGAACGGGUGAGUAACACGUGGGAAACCUACCUCUUAGCAGGGGAUAACAUUUGGAAACAAAUGCUAAUACCGUAUAAUAAUUAAAACCGCAUGGUUUUAGUUUAAAAGAUGGUCUUGCUAUCACUAAGAGAUGGUCCCGCGGUGUAUUAGUUAGUUGGUGAGGUAAUGGCUCACCAAGACAAUGAUACAUAGCCGAGUUGAGAGACUGACCGGCCACAAUGGGACUGAGACACGGCCCAUACUCCUACGGGAGGCAGCAGUAGGGAAUCUUCCACAAUGGACGAAAGUCUGAUGGAGCAACGCCGCGUGUGUGAUGAAGGGUUUCGGCUCGUAAAACACUGUUGUAAGAGAAGAAUGACAUUGAGAGUAACUGUUCAAUGUGUGACGGUAUCUUACCAGAAAGGAACGGCUAAAUACGUGCCAGCAGCCGCGGUAAUACGUAUGUUCCAAGCGUUAUCCGGAUUUAUUGGGCGUAAAGCGAGCGCAGACGGUUAUUUAAGUCUGAAGUGAAAGCCCUCGGGCUCAACCGAGGAAUUGCUUUGGAAACUGGAUAACUUGAGUGCAGUAGAGGAAAGUGGAACUCCAUGUGUAGCGGUGAAAUGCGUAGAUAUAUGGAAGAACACCAGUGGCGAAGGCGGCUUUCUGGACUGUAACUGACGUUGAGGCUCGAAAGUGUGGGUAGCAAACAGGAUUAGAUACCCUGGUAGUCCACACUGUAAACGAUGAGUGCUAGUUGUUCGAGGGUUUCCGCCCUUGAGUGACGAAGCUAACGCAUUAAGCACUCCGCCUGGGGAGUACGACCGCAAGGUUGAAACUCAAAGGAAUUGACGGGGACCCGCACAAGCGGUGGAGCAUGUGGUUUAAUUCGAAGCAACGCGAAGAACCUUACCAGGUCUUGACAUCCUUUGACCACUCCAGAGAUGGAGCUUUCCCUUCGGGGACAAAGUGACAGGUGGUGCAUGGUUGUCGUCAGCUCGUGUCGUGAGAUGUUGGGUUAAGUCCCGCAACGAGCGCAACCCUUAUUGUUAGUUGCCAGCAUUUAGUUGGGCACUCUAGCAAGACUGCCGGUGACAAACCGGAGGAAGGCGGGGAUGACGUCAAAUCAUCAUGCCCCUUAUGACCUGGGCUACACACGUGCUACAAUGGCAAGUACAACGAGUCGCCAACCCGCGAGGGUGCGCAAAUCUCUUAAAGCUUGUCCAGUUCGGACUGUAGGCUGCAACUCGCCUACACGAAGUCGGAAUCGCUAGUAAUCGCGGAUCAGCACGCCGCGGUGAAUACGUUCCCGGGUCUUGUACACACCGCCCGUCACACCAUGAGAGUUUGUAACACCCAAAGUCGGUGAGGUAACCUUUUAUUAGGAGCCAGCCGCCUAAGGUGGGACAGAUGAUUAGGGUGAAGUC
rnacentral:rRNA from 1 species